rnacentral:rRNA from 1 species
GACGAACCGAGCGAACGUUGUUCGGAAUCACUGGGCAUAAAGGGCGCGUAGGCGGGGAUGUAAGUCCGUGGUGAAAUACCCUGGCUCAACCAGGGAACUGCCUCGGAUACUGUGUCUCUCGAGGAAGACAGGGGCUUGCGGAACGGCUGGUGGAGCGGUGAAAUGCGUUGAUAUCAGUCGGAACUCCGGUGGCGAAGGCGGCAAGCUGGAUCUUUUCUGACGCUGAGGCGCGAAAGCCAGGGGAGCAAACGGG